GGGUUGUGAGGUUAAGCGACUAAGCGUACACGGUGGAUGCCCUGGCAGUCAGAGGCGAUGAAGGACGUGCUAAUCUGCGAUAAGCGUCGGUAAGGUGAUAUGAACCGUUAUAACCGGCGAUUUCCGAAUGGGGAAACCCAGUGUGUUUCGACACACUAUCAUUAACUGAAUCCAUAGGUUAAUGAGGCGAACCGGGGGAACUGAAACAUCUAAGUACCCCGAGGAAAAGAAAUCAACCGAGAUUCCCCCAGUAGCGGCGAGCGAACGGGGAGCAGCCCAGAGCCUGAAUCAGUGUGUGUGUUAGUGGAAGCGUCUGGAAAGGCGCGCGAUACAGGGUGACAGCCCCGUACACAAAAAUGCACAUGCUGUGAGCUCGAUGAGUAGGGCGGGACACGUGGUAUCCUGUCUGAAUAUGGGGGGACCAUCCUCCAAGGCUAAAUACUCCUGACUGACCGAUAGUGAACCAGUACCGUGAGGGAAAGGCGAAAAGAACCCCGGCGAGGGGAGUGAAAAAGAACCUGAAACCGUGUACGUACAAGCAGUGGGAGCACGCUUCGGCGUGUGACUGCGUACCUUUUGUAUAAUGGGUCAGCGACUUAUAUUCUGUAGCAAGGUUAACCGAAUAGGGGAGCCGAAGGGAAACCGAGUCUUAACUGGGCGUUAAGUUGCAGGGUAUAGACCCGAAACCCGGUGAUCUAGCCAUGGGCAGGUUGAAGGUUGGGUAACACUAACUGGAGGACCGAACCGACUAAUGUUGAAAAAUUAGCGGAUGACUUGUGGCUGGGGGUGAAAGGCCAAUCAAACCGGGAGAUAGCUGGUUCUCCCCGAAAGCUAUUUAGGUAGCGCCUCGUGAAUUCAUCUCCGGGGGUAGAGCACUGUUUCGGCAAGGGGGUCAUCCCGACUUACCAACCCGAUGCAAACUGCGAAUACCGGAGAAUGUUAUCACGGGAGACACACGGCGGGUGCUAACGUCCGUCGUGAAGAGGGAAACAACCCAGACCGCCAGCUAAGGUCCCAAAGUCAUGGUUAAGUGGGAAACGAUGUGGGAAGGCCCAGACAGCCAGGAUGUUGGCUUAGAAGCAGCCAUCAUUUAAAGAAAGCGUAAUAGCUCACUGGUCGAGUCGGCCUGCGCGGAAGAUGUAACGGGGCUAAACCAUGCACCGAAGCUGCGGCAGCGACGCUUAUGCGUUGUUGGGUAGGGGAGCGUUCUGUAAGCCUGUGAAGGUGUGCUGUGAGGCAUGCUGGAGGUAUCAGAAGUGCGAAUGCUGACAUAAGUAACGAUAAAGCGGGUGAAAAGCCCGCUCGCCGGAAGACCAAGGGUUCCUGUCCAACGUUAAUCGGGGCAGGGUGAGUCGACCCCUAAGGCGAGGCCGAAAGGCGUAGUCGAUGGGAAACAGGUUAAUAUUCCUGUACUUGGUGUUACUGCGAAGGGGGGACGGAGAAGGCUAUGUUGGCCGGGCGACGGUUGUCCCGGUUUAAGCGUGUAGGCUGGUUUUCCAGGCAAAUCCGGAAAAUCAAGGCUGAGGCGUGAUGACGAGGCACUACGGUGCUGAAGCAACAAAUGCCCUGCUUCCAGGAAAAGCCUCUAAGCAUCAGGUAACAUCAAAUCGUACCCCAAACCGACACAGGUGGUCAGGUAGAGAAUACCAAGGCGCUUGAGAGAACUCGGGUGAAGGAACUAGGCAAAAUGGUGCCGUAACUUCGGGAGAAGGCACGCUGAUAUGUAGGUGAAGUCCCUCGCGGAUGGAGCUGAAAUCAGUCGAAGAUACCAGCUGGCUGCAACUGUUUAUUAAAAACACAGCACUGUGCAAACACGAAAGUGGACGUAUACGGUGUGACGCCUGCCCGGUGCCGGAAGGUUAAUUGAUGGGGUCAGCGCAAGCGAAGCUCUUGAUCGAAGCCCCGGUAAACGGCGGCCGUAACUAUAACGGUCCUAAGGUAGCGAAAUUCCUUGUCGGGUAAGUUCCGACCUGCACGAAUGGCGUAAUGAUGGCCAGGCUGUCUCCACCCGAGACUCAGUGAAAUUGAACUCGCUGUGAAGAUGCAGUGUACCCGCGGCAAGACGGAAAGACCCCGUGAACCUUUACUAUAGCUUGACACUGAACAUUGAGCCUUGAUGUGUAGGAUAGGUGGGAGGCUUUGAAGUGUGGACGCCAGUCUGCAUGGAGCCGACCUUGAAAUACCACCCUUUAAUGUUUGAUGUUCUAACGUUGACCCGUGAUCCGGGUUGCGGACAGUGUCUGGUGGGUAGUUUGACUGGGGCGGUCUCCUCCUAAAGAGUAACGGAGGAGCACGAAGGUUGGCUAAUCCUGGUCGGACAUCAGGAGGUUAGUGCAAUGGCAUAAGCCAGCUUGACUGCGAGCGUGACGGCGCGAGCAGGUGCGAAAGCAGGUCAUAGUGAUCCGGUGGUUCUGAAUGGAAGGGCCAUCGCUCAACGGAUAAAAGGUACUCCGGGGAUAACAGGCUGAUACCGCCCAAGAGUUCAUAUCGACGGCGGUGUUUGGCACCUCGAUGUCGGCUCAUCACAUCCUGGGGCUGAAGUAGGUCCCAAGGGUAUGGCUGUUCGCCAUUUAAAGUGGUACGCGAGCUGGGUUUAGAACGUCGUGAGACAGUUCGGUCCCUAUCUGCCGUGGGCGCUGGAGAACUGAGGGGGGCUGCUCCUAGUACGAGAGGACCGGAGUGGACGCAUCACUGGUGUUCGGGUUGUCAUGCCAAUGGCACUGCCCGGUAGCUAAAUGCGGAAGAGAUAAGUGCUGAAAGCAUCUAAGCACGAAACUUGCCCCGAGAUGAGUUCUCCCUGACCCUUUAAGGGUCCUGAAGGAACGUUGAAGACGACGACGUUGAUAGGCCGGGUGUGUAAGCGCAGCGAUGCGUUGAGCUAACCGGUACUAAUGAACCGUGAGGCUUAACCUUACAACGCCGAAGCUGUU
rnacentral:rRNA from 1 species